AGAGUUUGAUCCUGGCUCAGAUUGAACGCUGGCGGCAUGCUUUACACAUGCAAGUCGAACGGCAGCACGGGAGCUUGCUCCUGGUGGCGAGUGGCGAACGGGUGAGUAAUGCAUCGGAACGUGCCCUGAAGUGGGGGAUAACGCAGCGAAAGUUGCGCUAAUACCGCAUAUUCUGUGAGCAGGAAAGCAGGGGAUCGCAAGACCUUGCGCUUUAGGAGCGGCCGAUGUCGGAUUAGCUAGUUGGUGGGGUAAAGGCUCACCAAGGCGACGAUCCGUAGCGGGUCUGAGAGGAUGAUCCGCCACACUGGGACUGAGACACGGCCCAGACUCCUACGGGAGGCAGCAGUGGGGAAUUUUGGACAAUGGGCGCAAGCCUGAUCCAGCCAUGCCGCGUGAGUGAAGAAGGCCUUCGGGUUGUAAAGCUCUUUCGGCGGGGAAGAAAUCGCAUUCUCUAAUACAGGAUGUGGAUGACGGUACCCGAAUAAGAAGCACCGGCUAACUCCGUGCCAGCAGCCGCGGUAAUAC
rnacentral:rRNA from 1 species